rnacentral:rRNA from 1 species
CUAAGAAUAUUCCGCAAUGGACGGAAGUCUGACGGAGCGACGCCGCGUGGAUGACGAAGGCCGAAAGGUUGUAAAGUUCUUUUGCUGGGGAAGAAUAACCGCAGGAGGGAAUGCCUGUGGGAUGACAAGAACCGGCGAAUAAGCCCCGGCCAACUACGUGCCAGCAGCCGCGGUAACACGUAGGGGGCGAGCGUUGUUCGGAAUUACUGGGCGUAAAGGGCAUGUAGGCGGCUUGGAAAGCCUGGCGUGAAAGUCUGCAGCUUAACUGCAGGGGUGCGCUGGGAACUGCUGAGCUUGAGUGACGGAGAGGGAGCUGGAAUUCCUGGUGUAGGGGUGAAAUCUGUAGAUAUCAGGAAGAACACCGAUGGCGAAGGCAAGCUCCUGGCCGAUGACUGACGCUGAGGUGCGAAAGUGUGGGGAUCAAACAGGAUUAGAUACCCUGGUAGUCCACACAGUCAACGAUGUGCACUAGGUGCUGGGGCGGUAGCUUCGGUGCCGGAGCGAACGUGGUAAGUGCACCGCCUGGGGAGUAUGCUCGCAAGGGUGAAACUCAAAUGAAUUGAC